UACGAAGGGGGCUAGCGUUGCUCGGAAUCACUGGGCUUAAAGGGCGCGUAGGCGGCCUUCUAAGUCGAACGUGAAAUCCCCGGGCUCAACCCGGGAACUGCGUCCGAUACUGGAAGGCUUGAAUCCGGGAGAGGGAUGCGGAAUUCCAGGUGUAGCGGUGAAAUGCGUAGAUAUCUGGAGGAACACCGGUGGCGAAGGCGGCAUCCUGGACCGGCAUUGACGCUGAGGCGCGAAAGCCAGGGGAGCAAAGCGGG
rnacentral:rRNA from 1 species